rnacentral:rRNA from 1 species
CCAAUAGCGUAUAUUAAAGUUGUUGCAGUUAAAAAGCUCGUAGUGGAAUUUCGGGAUUGACGUGAUGGUCGUGCCUUACGGGGUAUGAACUGUUGCUGUUGAUUUCUCACCUUCUGGAGAAACUUGAUGUCCUUAAUUGGGUGUCUUGCGGCUCCAGGACCUUUACCUUGAAAAAAUUAGAGUGUUUAAAGCAGGCAUUUUGCUCGAAUACAUUAGCAUGGAAUAAUAGAAUAGGACGGCAUGGUUCUAUUUUGUUGGUUUCUAGGAUCACCGUAAUGAUUAAUAGGGAUAGUUGGGGGCAUUAGUAUUCAAUUGUCAGAGGUGAAAUUCUUGGAUUGAUUGAAGACUAACUACUGCGAAAGCAUUUGCCAAGGAUGUUUUCAUUAAUCAAGAACGAAAGUUAGGGGAUCGAAGACGAUCAGAUACCGUCGUAGUCUUAACCAUAAACUAUGCCGACUAGGAAUCAGACGAUGUUAAUUUUUUAAUGACUCGUUUGGCACCUUACGGGAAACCAAAGUGUUUGGGUC